rnacentral:rRNA from 1 species
UACGGAGGGUGCAAGCGUUAAUCGGAAUUACUGGGCGUAAAGCGCACGCAGGUGGCUGAGAAAGUCGAUUGUGAAAGCCCUGGGCUUAAACCUGGGAAUUGCAUUCGAGAACUGCAUUGCUAGAGUAUGGGAGAGGGAAGUGGAAUUUCAGGUGUAGCGGGUGAAAUGCGUAGAUAUCUGAAGGAACAUCAGUGGCGAAAGCGACUUCCUGGACCAAUACUGACGCUCAUGGUGCG